rnacentral:rRNA from 1 species
CUUUCUAUCCUGGCUGAGUUUGAAUCGUGGCUCAGAUUGAACGCUGGCGGCAGGCCUAACACAUGCAAGUCGAACGGUAACAUUUCUAGCUUGCUAGAAGAUGACGAGUGGCGGACGGGUGAGUAAUACUUAGGAAUAUGCCUUUGUGUGGGGGAUAACUAUUGGAAACGAUAGCUAAUACCGCAUAACGUCUUCGGACCAAAGGGGGCUUCGGCUCCCGCGCAAAGAGUAGCCUAAGCGAGAUUAGCUUGUUGGUGAGGUAAAGGCUCACCAAGGCGACGAUCUCUAGCUGUUCUGAGAGGAAGAUCAGCCACACUGGAACUGAGACACGGUCCAGACUCCUACGGGAGGCAGCAGUGGGGAAUAUUGCACAAUGGGGGAAACCCUGAUGCAGCCAUGCCGCGUGUGUGAAGAAGGCCUUCGGGUUGUAAAGCACUUUCAGUUGUGAGGAAAGGUUAACGGUUAAUACCCGUUAGCUGUGACGUUAGCAACAGAAGAAGGACCGGCUAACUCCGUGCCAGCAGCCGCGGUAAUACGGAGGGUCCGAGCGUUAAUCGGAAUUACUGGGCGUAAAGCGCACGCAGGCGGUUUGUUAAGCUAGAUGUGAAAGCCCUGGGCUCAACCUGGGAAUUGCAUUUAGAACUGGCAGGCUAGAGUUUUGGAGAGGGGAGUGGAAUUCCAGGUGUAGCGGUGAAAUGCGUAGAUAUCUGGAGGAACAUCAGUGGCGAAGGCGACUCCCUGGUCAGU